UACGAAGGGGGCUAGCGUUGCUCGGAAUCACUGGGCGUAAAGGGUGCGUAGGCGGGUCUUUAAGUCAGGGGUGAAAUCCUGGAGCUCAACUCCAGAACUGCCUUUGAUACUGAGGAUCUUGAGUACGGGAGAGGUGAGUGGAACUGCGAGUGUAGAGGUGAAGUUCGUAGAUAUUCGCAAGAACACCAGUGGCGAAGGCGGCUCACUGGCCCGUAACUGACGCUGAGGCACGAAAGCGUGGGGAGCAAACAGG
rnacentral:rRNA from 1 species